UCGUCACUUUACAUCCGUUCAUUUAUCUAAAGUAAAAAACCGAAAGGAAAAAAAAAUCAGAUAGACCUUGAAACGGUCGUCUUCUUACCUACGAAGGAUCUGUGACUCCGAAAUCUUAAAUCCAUGGUGAAAAUCGAAGUUCUACGACAUAUAUUUGCGAAAGACAACCUCGUAAUCAAGUUCAGAUCCUAACAUGCAGCUGAAGAGUUUCUUAUAUCUGCUCUGUUUUGAAAGAAAUCGGAAGGACAUCGUCCUAAUUUUUAUGGAGAGACUUUAAGAGAUGCGAAGGUUCGAACAAAGAGGGGAAAGAAACACUUACUGAAGACAAUCGAGAGAAGAGCUUCCUUUGCUUCCACAUUUUCAUCGAUUGAAGAUCCUAGUGUAGAGCUUCGGAAGAGAAGCAACUGCUGUUGACGGAGCUGUAAAGUCUGAGACAGCAGCAGCAAACAUGGAGACCUUAGAUCAAAUCCAUGAAACAGAGGAUUGAAGGAGCAGAGAAGAAACAGAGACAGAUGAUGUCUUUCUUGGCUAUAGCGAUGCAGAGUCAUUCUCUGUAUCAGUUUCUCAAGCAGAGAGAUAUGAGACUUAAGGAUCUUGAGGCGGAGGAAGAAGAGAGAGGAAGAGGUUCUUCCGUGUCCGAACUGGAAGCUCUUGCUUUGGAGAUGCAAGGCUAUGGAAAAAGAGGAAUGUGAAGGAAGAAAAGGAUAUGUUGAUCUGCAUGAUGAUGACGACAUUCCAAGUCGAACCAAAAGGACAGGAGGAGAAGGCCAAUCAGACGUGCAGUUAAAGGUUUAGAGACAAAACUUUAUUCAACUGAAGGGCAUGUGACAGAGACAUAACGACAAAGCAAUAAGAACCCAAGUUGAAGUUGCAGAACCUCUGUCCAAACUUGGUCUCGAGUUCACAAUCUUUGGCAUAUACGAUCUUCUUCUCAGGGUGUUACCGGAUAUCCAGACAAACAAAACAUCUUCAAAAUAUAAAAGAUAAGUUAUUCUCAGAAAGUGUGUCUUUUUUAGAUUUUAUGAGACAUUUUUUGUUAUUUCACUGUAGUGAGUUGACUUAAUAGAUACAAUUCAAUUCAUAUAAAAUACUUAAACUGCUUACUUGAGUUGAUCCAAGCAACUCAUGGAUUUUCUUAGUGGGGUAUUGCAACCACUUAUCACGCUGCCCUUGGUUGCUACCCUCCUCCUUACUUUCAAUGAGCAUUAGACUUUUCUCAUCUCCAGUGUCCCUUAUAGUCCAAAAAAUUUUGAAGUUAGUAUGCAAGACAAAGAACUACCAUAAAUAAACAAUAGCUUAUGCACUUACAUAUCUUUAAAUGCGUCUGCAUCUGGUAUCGUAGGGUUGAUGAUCAUUUGAGAAGCAUCAUAGGAGUUAGAGAUUUGUAGUUCUCCUGUUGCCGAUACCAUUUAGUAGUGUAGGAAGUAGACAGUGUUGUUUAGUAUUUAUAUUCAUAUCUAUACUAUUAAGAAUGAAAUCGAUAGGAGUUCAGAUAUGUACCUCUAAACUUUCCAAUUUUUGCAAACCUCAAAAGCAAAGUAACCAUUCCAUCGUCUUCAUUGCAUGCAGAAUGAAGAAUGUCGGUUAAUUUGCCCCAAAUGCAGCAAGGUAGCCUCACAUCACUUAUGCGCAAUAUAUAAAUAAAGGCAUGGUUGGUAGUGCGAAAUGCUCCUCCAGCAGGUCUAACAUGGAAGUUUCGGACAUUGCGCCAUGCUCCAACAGGAAGAAGCCUUCCUUUACUCUCAAAGUAAGUUUUUUUGCAGCUUCCAUGGAUUUUAUCCCCCUUGUACAUGUUACAAAAAAAAUUAGAAAUAUAACAUCAAUAGACGUUUGUUGUAAAUACAAAAAAAAAAUCAUAAACAAAUAAGAACAGAACACAUAUCACCAAGUUAGGAUUGCUUACAUUUUCAUCAGAGAAGACGAAUUCGAUGGUUUCACCACCUUGAUUAAUGUUCCGUGUCCAGGAAUGUAGGACCUUCACAUGAACAACCUUGUUAGUGUGUCUUGGUUUCAACUCGCUGAUAGGGGUGAUUUCUUGAGUAGCAGGUUUCAAAGCCAUUUUUUUUUCGUUUGAGGGAAUGAGUUUGGUGAGGAAGAGACGUAGGUGCAUUUAUAAUAGGAAGAGAGAACCGGUCGUAAAUUAGGUAUUUUGAAAACUUGCAGGCUACUCAAAAUAUCAAAGAGAUUUUAAUAGUUAAUAACAAUUAAUAAUAGUAAUAAAUGUAGUUACUAUUUUGUUAAGAUUUUUAUUUAGUGAAUUUCGUAACACGCAAUCAAGAUUUUUACAAUACAAAC